AAAAUUGUCCAUGACCAGCUUUGCUCAAUGGUGGAGAGGUCUGACCCAGAUCUAUUAGGACCCAAUCACCAGCACCUUCCAAAAAUAGUUGCAGUUUUUGCUGAGGUCUUAUGUGCAGGCGGUGC